CAGUCGCCGCGGUAAAACGAACCGUGCGAACGUUAUUCGGAAUCACUGGGCUUAAAGCGCGUGUAGGCGAUAGGGACGUCGGUCGCUGAAAUCCCCCGGCUCAACCGGGGAACGGGCACCGAAACGCCCUGUCUGGAGGGACGUAGGGGGACCUAGAACAUCCGGUGGAGCGGUGAAAUGCGUUGAGAUCGGAUGGAACGCCCGUGGCGAAAGCGAGGUCCUGGACGUCUUCUGACGCUGAGACGCGAAAGCUAGGGUAGCAAACAGGAUUAGAUACCCCAGUAGUCCCUGUCUCUUAUAA
rnacentral:rRNA from 1 species